CCCCUUGAAGAUGACGAACUGGUGGAGUACAUCCUCACCGGUCUUGAUGAAGAAUACGACUCUGUGGUGUCCUCAGCCCUUGGCCGAGCAGAACCAAUCUCUGUAAGUGAACUAUAUUCACAGAUGCUUGCCUUUGAAA